rnacentral:lncRNA from 1 species
GAAGCCUAACUCAGAGCCAGAGCUUUGAAAAAGCAGAGGACUGACUUCUGCCUUGUUCCUUUUUAUCUCCUCCUCACUCCUUAGUCUGAUACCAAUGUGUAAUUCCUCAAUUAUAAAUUCUAAAUCAAGUGCCAGAAAAAUAAUAUUGAACUACCAGGAGGAAAAUCAAUUAAAAAGUUGGUCAAACACUUUACAUUUCCCUUAUGAAUAUUCAUGUGACUAGAAAAUAAAAUCUACUUAGUAUGUGAUUAGAUGUGUCUU